rnacentral:rRNA from 1 species
CUGUUCCCAUGCCGAACACAGAAGUUAAGCUCUUUAGCGCCGAUGGUAGUCGGACUGACGUUCCGCGAGAGUAGGACGUUGCCAAGC